rnacentral:rRNA from 1 species
UACGUAGGUGACAAGAGUUAUCCGGAAUUACUGGGCGUAAAGCGCACGCAGGCGGCGCAUUAAGCCUGACGUGAAAUCUCCUGGCUUAACUGGGAGGGGUCGUUGGAGACUGAUGGGCUUGAGGCGAUGAGAGGGGUGUAGAAUUCCCGGUGUAGUGGUGGAAUGCGUAGAUAUCGGGAGGAAUACCAGUGGCGAAGGCGGCACCCUGGCAUUAGCCUGACGCUCAGGUGCGAAGGCGUGGGGAGCGAACGGG